UGGGGAAUUUUGGACAAUGGGCGAAAGCCUGAUCCAGCAAUGCCGCGUGUGUGAAGAAGGCCUUCGGGUUGUAAAGCACUUUUGUCCGGAAAGAAAUCCUUGGCUCUAAUACAGUCGGGGGAUGACGGUACCGGAAGAAUAAGCACCGGCUAACUACGUGCCAGCAGCCGCGGUAAUACGUAGGGUGCAAGCGUUAAUCGGAAUUACUGGGCGUAAAGCGUGCGCAGGCGGUUUGCUAAGACCGAUGUGAAAUCCCCGGGCUCAACCUGGGAACUGCAUUGGUGACUGGCAGGCUAGAGUAUGGCAGAGGGGGGUAGAAUUCCACGUGUAGCAGUGAAAUGCGUAGAGAUGUGGAGGAAUACCGAUGGCGAAGGCAGCCCCCUGGGCCAAUACUGACGCUCAUGCACGAAAGCGUGGGGAGCAAACAGGAUUAGAUACCCUGGUAGUCCACGCCCUAAACGAUGUCAACUAGUUGUUGGGGGAUUCAUUUCCUUAGUAACGUAGCUAACGCGUGAAGUUGACCGCCUGGGGAGUACGGUCGCAAGAUUAAAACUUAAAGGAAUUGACGGGG
rnacentral:rRNA from 1 species